UUUCCUUUUGUACAGUUAUAUGAAGUUUGUAAAAUAAUCUCACACAUUUUAUAUCAUGUAAUCUGAAGGUAAAGUAAGUGGUAAUAUCUCAGUUCUACAGAUGUCCAAGGUUGGUGAGUAGAGGUAAAGUGGCUUUGACCAAGGCGACCUGGCUGCUCUGUGGAAUCAGGACUCCAGCUAGAUGUUCGUUCUUAUUUAGGAUCUUGAGCCGUGGCUAGCAGUAUACAAAACAUUUUCAUAAGAAAUUCUAGACAAAAAUAGGGGAAGACAAAUGUAUUGUGGGAGUAUUACUCAUUUGACUUUACAUGGGCUUACAUGGAGAUGUUUUAAAUUUGAUCUCAUGGAUAUUUUCUCUAGAGUUCUGACUGAAAACUCCGGAAUCAUGCAACUUAGGAUUUGCACUUUAAAUGAGCUUUGGGAUGUUUUAUUUCAGACGUUGCUCUAUUUUGGCCUUCACACACCAUCCUCACCCAUCAGAGCAGGUGCUUGCUAAUUAUAAGAGAGACCAACUUCUUUAAACUCUCAGAAAUGUUGCCUUCUUUGGUGACUCAGCUGUUGAGCUGAAAACAAAUGACAGAUCUUAAGAGAGAGAGAGAGACCUUACACACUUGGUUGGCUGUUUCAAAGCGACACAUAGAUUCCAAAAACUAACUCUUAGAGGUCUGGGACGUUCUUGGUCCUCGAAGUCUGGAGCUACCUCAUGAGAGUACCCUUCCACUAUUAAACUUCAGUGUCUCUCACAAAGGCCCCUGUUAGGAUAAAGUCAGCCUCUGUAAGUCAGCACCAAAUUAGUCAGAUUUUUUUGUCAUGUACAGAAGCUUUCCUGGUUUGCCUCUUUCUUUUUUCCCCCUUUUGCUUGUUUGUUUGGUUUCUUAAAUUCCACAUCAGUGGAAUCAUAUAGUAUUUAUCUUUCUCUGAUCAACUUUCUCUGACGGACUGUAUUAUUUAGCAUAAUAUUCUCUAGCUCCAUCCAUGUCAUUGUAAAUGGCAAGAUUUCGUUCUUUUUUUGUGGAGUAAUAUUCCAUUGGGAGGUGGAUAGGAGGAUGGCUUAAAUGGAUAAUGUGGAGUGAGAAGAGCACGUGUGGCGAUGAGCUCCUGGAGUCGUAUGGAAGCACUAAAUCACUAUAUUGAACACUGCAACUAAUAUACUGUACGUUAACUGGAUUUUUUUCUCCUUUUUAAAAUUUAAAUUCAAUUUGGCACAUAUAACACCCAGUGCUCAUCUUGUCAUGUGCCUUCCUUAAUACUUGUCACCCAGUUACCCCAUCCCUCCACCCCAU
rnacentral:lncRNA from 12 species